GUCUACGGCCAUACCACCCUGAACGCACCCGAUCUCAUCUGUAAUUGGCAGCCUUAGUGAGGUGUGUGGGUGUGUGCAUGUAUAAGAUGGGGGAUCGUCUUCAUGACAAAUACUAGUUGGUU
rnacentral:rRNA from 1 species